GACUGCUGGGCGUGGCGGGCUCCUGCCUCUUCCUGCGCUGGAAGUCCCGCUUCAUGGCCUGCAGGGUCCGCGGGCCGAUGGCGCACUGCACCGAGGCGUCCUUCUUCGGGUUGACCUGCACCGCCACAUCCUUGGUAUUGGCCUUCCGGAGCCUCGGGAAGCAGAGUCUGCAGCAGAUCACUGUCUCACUCUUCAAGAGGAUAUGAGUCCUGGCGUCACGCCUUUGAGGUCCAGUAUGGGAUGGGAUGUUUUGGACCACUACGUGAUUCAAUCUCCUCUUCGUUCUGCACAAACAUUACAGGCUGUUCCUGGCAACCAGGAAGUGACUUCAGGUGCGUAAUACGGUUUGUGUGUUGAAUACAUAAUGCUUUUAAAGACCUUACUGAAACGAUGGCUACCUAGCUUGCCAGAUAGAUGGUCAUUAACUGUGCAUUUUGGUUUAUAAUUCUUGUUUUUCUAGUAAUUUACAUCAAUUACUUAAUCUUAUUUCAUCUAUUUAUAUUGUUCAAUCAAAUUAAACCCAACUUGUUUUGGAUGGGGAAAAAACAAGUCAGAGGACAGAAGAAAGGAAACUUUUAAAGUUUUAUUUGAAAUGUGACUUUACACAGGAAAACCAAAUGUUAUGGUUGUGGCUAUAAAAAAGGUUCAUUAACAAAAAAUGGUUCACACAAAGUGUGUGCUAUAUUUCUUUUUGCAACAUUCAUCCUGGCUUCCCACCAAAUCUGAGCUUUGACAGAGGCACCCAUCUCUUUAAUAAAUAAUUUCAUUUACAGAACUAGUAUUUUUUAUAUAUAUAAAUACAAAGGCAAAAGGAACAUUUUAAA